GGUUUUAUUGUCUAGUGGUUAAGACCCUUGGUUCUGAACAGAUCUUCCCGAGAAAGUUCGAAACUAGAUAUAUCCAAGUAACCUGGGUUCGAAUCCCAGUGAAACCU
rnacentral:tRNA from 1 species